GAAAAGUAUUCAGGUUUGACUGAGAGAGAAAAGGUUACCGUAUGAGGAGAGGGUUACUGACUUAAAACAUGACAGAUUCUUACUCUAAAAGUUAUGAAGAGUUGAUUACUCCACUGAAAGAUGAACUGAAGAAAAUUCUCAGGAACAGUAAGUCAGUAAAAGAAGGACCCACUACGAAAUUUAUAUUAAACACAACAGUUGUAACUGAAGACAAAUUACUGAGAGAAAGUGAGACUAGGAGAGAAAAAUGAUGACAACAAAAAUAUGGUCAUAUUAGUGGUUGGGGAAACAGGAACAGGAAGACUGCUUUCAUCAAUGCAAUGAUCAAUUACAUCAUGGGUAUCAGAUGGGAACAUAAAAGUUUGGCUGGAGGUAGCUGAGGUAUCUGAAAACCAAACUGAGUCUCAAACAGCAGCAGUGACCGUUUAUGACGUUUUUGCUCGGACAGUCUGUUCUCUCUCACUGUAAUCGACACACCUGGAUUUGAAAUAUACCAGAUGAAGAUGAAGAUGAAGAUAAAGACAAGUUAAUUCCUAAAGUGUUACAGCAGUUGUUCAGAUCUGAAGAUGGCAUUCAUGAAAUUCAUGCAGUGUGUCUUGUGUUGAAGGCAUCAGAAACUCGCCUCCAUGAGAGACAGCAAUAUGUUUUAGAUGAAAUUAUGUCAUUAUUUGGCAAAGACAUUGAAAAACAUAUCUUUUAGUCUUCACAAACCAACUUCACAAAACUCUCCCACCAAAAGUUUUUAAUUUUAUUAACGAAUCAAAAAUUAAAAGUGCACAAAUUUAUUUUACGUUUGAUAACUGUCAGAGUGACUACUUCAGGGAGGAAGACAGAAAGAGUUACAAAUCAUCCUGGGAUCGUGGAAUUGAAACCUUGAAGGAGUUUUUGAUUAUCUGAAUGAGAUAAACCCAAAAAGCUUGAAUAUGACAGAAGGUGUGCUUAGAGCCAGAAAACAAUUAGAUGCCUGUGUCAACAAUUUGAAAGACAGAAUUGUGUUUGCAGAUUACAGAAAACAAGAGCUGGAGCAAACAAAAUUAGCUCUGGAGAAAAUUGAAAAAAGCAGAGAAAAAGAGAAUAACUUUGUAUAUGAAGUCGAUGAACCAUACAAACAAGAGGUCCAGAUAGUGUCAUCACGUGUGGUGGCACCUGAGCAAACAGGCGACCCGCUGCACUUUCUGUGAGGAGAACUGCCACUUUCCAGGAUGCUGGUGGGUCAAAGAUCUGUCAUGGUGUAGUGUGAUGACGGAUGGA